rnacentral:rRNA from 1 species
GUGUCAGCAGCCGCGGUAAUACGUAGGGGGCAAGCGUUGUCCGGAUUUAUUGGGCGUAAAGAGCGUGUAGGUGGCCAAUUAGGUCCGCUGUGAAAACUCGAGGCUCAACCUCGAGAUGUCGGUGGAAACCAAUUGGCUAGAGUCCGGAAGAGGAGAGUGGAAUUCCUGGUGUAGCGGUGAAAUGCGCAGAUAUCAGGAAGAACACCAAUGGCGAAGGCAGCUCUCUGGGACGGUACUGACACUGAGACGCGAAAGCGUGGGGAGCGAACAGGAUUAGAUACCCUGGUAGUCC